CGGACGGGUGAGUAAUGUCUGGGAAACUGCCUGAUGGAGGGGGAUAACUACUGGGAACGGUAGCUAAUACCGCAUAACGUCGCAAGACCAAAGAGGGGGACCUUCGGGCCUCUUGCCAUCAGAUGUGCCCAGAUGGGAUUAGCUAGUAGGUGGGGUAACGGCUCACCUAGGCGACGAUCCCUAGCUGGUCUGAGAGGAUGACCAGCCACACUGGAACUGAGACACGGUCCAG
rnacentral:rRNA from 1 species